rnacentral:rRNA from 1 species
GCAAACGCUGGCGGCAUGCCUAACACAUGCAAGUCGAACGGAGUGGCGGAUGGGUGAGUAACGCGUGAGUGACCUGCCCAGCAGUGGGGAAUAACAGUGAGAAAUCAUUGCUAAUACCGCAUACUGUUGGAUGGACUCGCGUCUGAUUAGCCAGUUGGUGGGGUAACGGCCUACCAAAGCAAUGAUCAGUAGCCGGCCUGAGAGGGUGAACGGCCACAUUGGGACUGAGACACGGCCCAAACUCCUACGGGAGGCAGCAGUGGGGAAUCUUCCGCAAUGUGCGCAAGCCUGACGGAGCAAUGCCGCGUGAGUGAAGAAGGCCUUCGGGUUGUAAACCGCUUUCAGCCAUGCGGUAGUGGCAGAAGAAGCACCGGCUAACUACGUGCCAGCAGCCGCGGUAUUC